rnacentral:snoRNA from 1 species
CCCCAACUCUUAAAAUGAUGAGAACAUUUUCAUGAACCGGUAUUUAGGAAGAGCCGGAAGAGGUAUGGCAGGAGGAGAUUUCGACAAUAAUGAUCGGGUCUCCCCUGUCGUCGAUGCUUAUAAUGGUUCUGCUGAGAGGAGUUACGGG